rnacentral:rRNA from 1 species
AGAGUUUGAUCCUGGCUCAGGACGAACGCUGACGGUGUGCUUUAGGCAUGCAAGUCGAACGAGAAAGCCCUUCGGGGUGAGUAGAGUGGCGAACGGGUGAGUAACACGUGGGCAACCUGCCCCUCGCAGGGGGAUAACCGGAGGAAACUCCGGCUAAUACCCCGUAAGCUUUCAGGGUCGCAUGGCCCUGAAAGGAAAGGUAGCUUCGGCCAUCCGGCGAGGGAUGGGCCCGCGGUGCAUUAGCUAGUUGGUGGGGUAAAGGCCCACCAAGGCGACGAUGCGUAGCUGGUCUGAGAGGAUGAUCAGCCACACUGGGACUGAGACACGGCCCAGACUCCUACGGGAGGCAGCAGCCAGGAAUCUUGGGCAAUGGGCGAAAGCCUGACCCAGCAACACCGUGUGGGCGAUGAAGGCCUUCGGGUCGUAAAGCCCUGUUGAUAGGGACGAAGGGCGAAGGGUUAAUAGCCCCUAGCCUGACGGUACCUUUCGAGGAAGCCCCGGCUAACUACGUGCCAGCAGCCGCGGUAAUACGUAGGGGGCGAGCGUUGUCCGGAAUUAUUGGGCGUAAAGAGCGUGUAGGCGGUUCGGUAAGUCUGCCGUGAAAACCUGAGGCUCAACCUCGGGCGUGCGGUGGAUACUGCCGGGCUAGAGGACGGUAGAGGCGAGUGGAAUUCCCGGUGUAGCGGUGAAAUGCGCAGAUAUCGGGAGGAACACCAGUAGCGAAAGCGGCUCGCUGGGCCGUUCCUGACGCUGAGACGCGAAAGCUAGGGGAGCGAACAGGAUUAGAUACCCUGGUAGUCCACGCCGUAAACGAUGAGUGCUUGGUGUAGCGGGUAUCGACCCCUGCUGUGCCGAAGUCAACACAUUAAGCACUCCGCCUGGGGAGUACGGUCGCAAGACUGAAACUCAAAGGAAUUGACGGGGGCCCGCACAAGCGGUGGAGCAUGUGGUUUAAUUCGAAGCAACGCGCAGAACCUUACCUGGGUUUGAACUGCAGAGGAAAGGCUCAGAGAUGAGUCCCUCCCUUCGGGGACCGCUGUAGAGGUGCUGCAUGGCUGUCGUCAGCUCGUGUCGUGAGAUGUUGGGUUAAGUCCCGCAACGAGCGCAACCCUUGUUCACAGUUACUAACGCGUAGAGGCGAGAACUCUGUGGAGACUGCCGGUGAUAAACCGGAGGAAGGUGGGGAUGACGUCAAGUCCUCAUGGCCUUUAUGUCCAGGGCUACACACGUGCUACAAUGGGCAGUACAGAGAGUCGCGAGACCGCAAGGUGGAGCUAAUCUCGGAAAGCUGCUCUCAGUUCGGAUUGCAGUCUGCAACUCGACUGCAUGAAGUUGGAAUCGCUAGUAAUCGCGGAUCAGCACGCCGCGGUGAAUACGUUCCCGGGCCUUGUACACACCGCCCGUCACAUCACGAAAGUCGGUUGCACUAGAAGUCGGUGGGCUAACCCGCAAGGGGGGCAGCCGCCUAAAGUGUGAUCGGUAAUUGGGGUGAAGUCGUAACAAGGUAGCCGU